GUUAUGGAUGGCUGUGAGCUAUCAUGCACUUUCCACAGCACAACUGAUAUCAUAGUCACUUCAGGAAAACCAAGUUCUCCAUGUAAGAAGACUUUUGAUCAUCUACUUGGGUGACUUGUACAUUUGAAGAAAGGAAAUAUUCAAAACUGUUGUUUCGUGGCUCCAUCUGCUGGAAGGAGUGUGCACUACCGAGUUUUUAUUACCGGACACACAGAAGCAAGGGCAGUUUAGACCCAAUCCCUAGAAACUUCUGCAAGCACGCAGUUAACUCAGCACAGUCAUGAAACCAUUUUAAGCUGUGUUGUAAAAGUGCAGAGAAGUAGGAAUUGUGACCCUCUGGGCUUUCCCUCUCAUUGUCACCUUGUACCUGUCCCUCGUUUCUUCCUCUCAGAAGGAAAUUUCAUUCACCGGAUAGUCUGGCUCCUGUACCCAGGGUGUCUAGUCUAGCAAUUAUCUUUGCAGUACCAGGCCCUGCCGUAGGCUUUGCCCAUCUUGUGCUGUAACCACAUUUUACGUAGCUAUGGGAGUGCUGACAUUUUCCUGGGAGAUGGCGCUCCUCUAGAGUAACAGUGUAUUUGGAAGGACUCUGUUUUUUUCCCCCCCUGUGUGUCCACUUUCCUUUCUAUAUUGGGUUUAGGAGGGUGUUAGGCAGCAGUUCCUUCCAAGAUCAGAACUAUUCAAAAGAGUUUCAGGAAGUCCCUGAAACUGAUCAGAUUCACUAGGCUUCUCCCUGCCAUAGUAAGCAACAAAAGUUGAGAGACCUCAGUUGGAAGGAAGCUGAGCUACCAAAAAGAAAGACACCCCCCCUCCAGAAAAGUUAUCUGUCCAAGAAGACUCAGACAAGAUGAACUGCAAAGAAGACUCCGAGACCAGACCAGCUGCCUGGAAGGAGCAUAAACCAGCCCAGCUACCCGGAAGAGGUUUAACCAAAUAAAUCAUUUGGAAAGGGCAUUCUCCAACCUAUUUAGCUGCCUGCAGACUGUGCAGUGUCUCCUAGCAUUGUGAGCUGGCCUCCUGCUGGGGCAGGCUUUGGAAAUGCAUCUGUCUUUAAGUCAUUUCUGUCCCUGUAAGCAACCCCUCACCCAUAUUCCUGUAAGUAACCCCAAUACAACUCGUUGGUUCACCAA